rnacentral:rRNA from 1 species
UGGGGAAUAUUGGACAAUGGGCGCAAGCCUGAUCCAGCCAUGCCGCGUGAGUGAUGAAGGCCUUAGGGUUGUAAAGCUCUUUCGCCGGUGAAGAUAAUGACGGUAACCGGAGAAGAAGCCCCGGCUAACUUCGUGCCGGCAGCCGCGGUAAUACGAAGGGGGCUAGCGUUGCUCGGAAUCACUGGGCGUAAAGCGCACGUAGGCGGAUCGUUAAGUCAGGGGUGAAAUCCUGGAGCUCAACUCCAGAACUGCCCUUGAUACUGGCGAUCUCGAGUUCGAGAGAGGUUGGUGGAACUCCGAGUGUAGAGGUGAAAUUCGUAGAUAUUCGGAAGAACACCAGUGGCGAAGGCGGCCAACUGGCUCGAUACUGACGCUGAGGUGCGAAAGCGUGGGGAGCAAAACAGGAUUAGAUACCCUGGUAGUCCACGCCGUAAAACGAUGGAUGCUAGCCGUUGGGGGGUUUACCUCUCAGUGGCGCAGCUAACGCCUUAAGCAUCCCGCCUGGGGAGUACGGUCGCAAGAUUAAAACUCAAAUGAAUUGACGGGGUCAUAGCUG